CACUGCUACAUCAUCCUCAAGUUAACACACACACACACACACACUGCUACAUCAUCCUCAAGGUAACAAACACACACACACACACUGCUACAUCAUCCUCAAGGUAACACACACACACACACACACACACUGCUACAUCAUCCUCAAGGUAACACACACACACCCACACUGCUACAUCAUCCUCAAGGUAACACACACACACUGCUACAUCAUCCUCAAGGUAACACACACACACACACACACACACACACACACACACUGCUACAUCAUCCUCAAGGUAACACACACACACACACACACUGCUACAUCAUCCUCAAGGUAACACACACACACACACACACUGCUACAUCAUCCUCAAGGUAACACACACACACACACACACACACACACUGCUACAUCAUCCUCAAGGUAACACACACACACACACACACACACACACACACACACACACACACACACACACACACUGCUACAUCAUCCUCAAGGUAACACACAC
ensembl:lncRNA